rnacentral:rRNA from 1 species
AUGACCGUGACGACGACAACGCGCGUUUUUCGUCAUCCACGUCCAUCGUCGACGAGACGCAGCUCACCUCAGGAACACCAUCCUUGUCGAACUCAGUCAAGGAAGACACCAGAGAAGCCCAGCCAGGUGAUGACACCACCCAUGAUGCGGCCAUUGUCCUAUUCUCCAUGGACCCUUACACCGACUUCAGGAGGUCCAUGCAGAACAUGA